UACGUAGGGUGCGAGCGUUAAUCGGAAUUACUGGGCGUAAAGUGUGCGCAGGCGGCCGCGCAAGUCGAGUGUGAAAGCCCCGAGCUUAACUUGGGAAUUGCGCUCGAAACUACGUGGCUGGAGUGUGGCAGAGGAAGGUGGAAUUCCACGUGUAGCGGUGAAAUGCGUAGAUAUCUGGAGGAAUACCGGUGGCGAAGGCGGCAUCCUGGACCGACAUUGACGCUGAACGGCGAAAGCUAGGGGAGCAAACGGG
rnacentral:rRNA from 1 species